GCCCCCGUUGUGUAGCGGCCUAGCACGCCGCCCUCUCAAGGCGGUAGCGCCGGUUCGAAUCCGGUCGGGGGUACAA
rnacentral:tRNA from 58 species